GUUCCCAGGCUAGCUCAGUUGGUCAGAGCAUGGUGCUGAUAAAGUCAAGGUUGCAGGUUUGAUUCCUGUAUGGAACA